UGGGGAAUCUUGGACAAUGGGGGCAACCCUGAUCCAGCCAUGCCGCGUGAGUGAUGAAGGCCUUAGGGUCGUAAAGCUCUUUCGCCUGUGAAGAUAAUGACGGUAGCAGGUAAAGAAACCCCGGCUAACUCCGUGCCAGCAGCCGCGGUAAUACGGAGGGGGUUAGCGUUGUUCGGAAUUACUGGGCGUAAAGCGCACGUAGGCGGACCAGAAAGUUGGGGGUGAAAUCCCGGGGGCUCAACCCCGGAACUGCCUCCAAAACUAUUGGUCUAGAGUUCGAGAGAGGUGAGUGGAAUUCCAAGUGUAGAGGUGAAAUUCGUAGAUAUUUGGAGGAACACCAGUGGCGAAGGCGGCUCACUGGCUCGAUACUGACGCUGAGGUGCGAAAGUGUGGGGAGCAAACAGGAGUUAGAUA
rnacentral:rRNA from 1 species